rnacentral:rRNA from 1 species
GAUGAACGCUGGCGGCGUGCCUAAUACAUGCAAGUCGAGCGAACAGACGAGGAGCUUGCUCCUCUGACGUUAGCCGCGGACGGGUGAGUAACACGUGGAUAACCUACCUAUAAGACUGGGAUAACUUCGGGAAACCGGAGCUAACACCGGAUAAUAUAUUGAACCGCAUGGUUCAAUAGUGAAAGACGGUUUUGCUGUCACUUAUAGAUGGAUCUGCGCCGCAUUAGCUAGUUGGUAAGGUAACGGCUUACCAAGGCGACGAUGCGUAGCCGACCUGAGAGAGGGAUAGGCCACACUGGAACUGGAACACGGUCCAGACGCCUGCGGUAGGCAGCAGUAGGGAAUCUUCCGCAAUGGGCGAAAGCCUGACGGAGCAGCGCCACGUGAGUGAUGACGAUCUUCGGAUCGUAAAACUCUGUUAUUAGGGAAGAACAAAUUUGUAAGUAAAUAUGCACGUCUUGACGGUACCUAAUCAGAAAGCCACGGCUAACUACGUG